rnacentral:rRNA from 1 species
AUGCCUACAAAAAAUCAAUUGAUUCGUCAUGGUAGAGAAGAAAAACGGCGCACGGACCGUACUCGAGCUUCGGAUCAAUGUCCCCAGAAGCAAGGAGUAUGCCUGCGUGUUUCGACGAGAACACCGAAAAAACCUAAUUCAGCUCUACGUAAGAUAGCAAAAGUACGGUUGAGCAAUCGACAUGAUAUAUUUGCUCACAUUCCAGGCGAAGGUCAUAAUUCGCAGGAACAUUCUAUAGUCUUAGUCAGAGGAGGUAGAGUGAAAGAUUCGCCAGGUGUGAAAUCCCAUCGUAUUUGA